CCCGCCCCCGCCCCGCCCCUCUCCCCGGCGGGGCGCUGCCCGCGCUCGUGGGGUGGGAAGCUGUCUAGGGAGGGCCAUUGCCUCUCUACACAGCCAGCCUCUGACUUCGGUAUGAUUCAACUCUGUCUGAAACCAUCUUUACACCUGCUACCGAACUGCCACCUCUGCGCCAAAGCUGACAGAACUCCAAAGCUGAGGACUUAAUUUCUGAGACACAAGCCGGUCGCAUCAUUCCCCCAGUUAUAUUAAGUUUCAUGUGAUCCAUGAAGAGUCUCCAGCAGAAGGCUCAGCAGUAGGAGUUGUCUGCCCUUACUACUCUUUAUUUGUGCGUGAGUGGGGAUCCACUGUCCUGGCGUUUGUGCAGCCUGCUAUAUGCACAGCUGGUUGGUUAGUCACCACCCCGGGGGCUCCCUCUCCCGCUGUGGGCUACCGCCAGUUGGCAGUGGACCUCAGAGUAGACUGUGGAGAUGGACUGUCCCGCUGUUGGUGUCCACACUGGACCAGACUGCAGAGGCUCAGGCUCACUCGGUACAGCGAGUUCUGUAUUCUUCUUUUCCCUUCUUGUGUUACGGUCUUCAAAGACAUCCAUGCUCACCAACGCGUUCCGGUUCCAGCUUUCACAUUUACUCCGUCACAGCCAGAGGUCCUGCAAACACAGCUUCCUUCUCUCAGAGACAGCGCCCACCGUGGCUCAGGAAACAGAGUCUGCAACGUCAGGCUUAACCCCGUGAGUGAAGAACACCCCACAGUGAAUGGGUGUGAAGUAAGCCUGUCAGGCUAACCGACUUUUACAAAAGACAACCAAGAUUGUGUCAAAACGAGUGACCGUGCUGAGCAGCCUUCUGGAAAGUUCACCUAUUCCCACGCCUUUGCCUCUGCACCACACAACCAAGGCCCGUCCUCCUGGGGCCACGGGCAACACCCUGCGGCUCUGUCCUUGAUGACGGAGCUCUGAUGUGUGUAACAGGGGAAGGAUGCCCGGAGGCGGGUCUGGCGAGUGAACUAGACCGCAUCUGCUCGGUGUGAUGGGGGCCUCCUCCCAGAGGUGUUUCAGGCAAACCUGGAGGAGUGGCAGCGCCACCUCCAAGGGGCCUGCUCUGAAGAGCACCUCUCACCUCUCCUUUCAGUACAGGGCUUGGUGCUUUAUAUAGAU